rnacentral:lncRNA from 1 species
CAACGAGCCUCAAGGUGGCCACCAAACCGCAGCCCCUGGCCCUUCCCAGGAGUAUCUGGCGGACUUACCGAAGAGCAGCGGCUUGAGGCUGAGGGUUCGGAUGAAGUGAUCCCUGUCGGUGACCAGCUGGACCUUACGCUCGUGCCCCACCUAAGGAAAAGGCGCACAGCGGGCAGCUGGGGCGCCAGACCGCGCUGCCCAAGAAGGGCCAAGUCGCCCCGGCCCGGAGAGCGACAGCAGGCGAGUGAGUGGGAGCGCGCGGGACCGACGCAGAGCAGCGCCGGGGGCAGCGUGGGGACCCGGGCUGAGCGCCGGUCCUCUCGGGCUCAGCCGUGCAGGGCCUGGAGCGCGGCGGGGCAGGGAGGUCCUCACCUUGAUGCCCUCCAGCCGGGUGAGGGGACCUAAGGUGGGCUCGGGCCCGGGGCCCUGGGCACGGUGUUGGGGCCCGGGAUCGCUGCUUUCGUCGCCGUUGCUGUAGUGCACGAAGAGCAGCAGCGCCAGCACGUUACCCAGGUACAGGUGCACGAACACCAUCAGCACCAGGAAGUAGGCGCGCGAGCAGAUGCCGCGGGGCUUGCACAGCGGACGCACCGGUGCGUCCUCGCCGUCGCCCAGCCCGGCCGCCGCCUGAGCCUGGCAGUGGUCUGGCGGCGCCCACUGCGGCCUCGAGGCCUCCUCGGCCGCCGCGGUCUCAGGCCGCUGGCCUGUCACCGCCGCUGCCGCCAUGGCACCCAGGUCGCGCGCGCGCCCAGGGGAGGGGCCGCGGGGGUGCCCGCGCUGCGCAGUCGCCCGGACAACGGCCGCCAGGCCCGCGAGCGCCGCGGUCACUAGGAGACGGUGCCUGGGGGUGCUGAGCCCGCCCGGAGCCGCCUGCGUCCGCGCCGGGCUCGGCCUUCCUGCGCCUUGAGCCCCAGCCCACGCUGGGGCUUCUCUUCCCAAGCUGGGUUGCCGUCGGGCAGAGCUGUACACUCUCCAAGUCAGAAGCCAAGGUCCCAAGCGUAGACGCGGACAAGAGCGGCACCAUUAAGGCAUACACUAGUGGGAGCUUCUCGGUGCCUGCGUGAAGACGCCCUCUUGCCUCCGGGAAAAGUAUCGUCUGCAUCUUCUUGCUCCAGGAGCGGGGGUGGGGAGCGCAGCGCGGAGGAGGCAGCGCUGAGAUGACUCAACAGUGCGGCAUUUGGGGGCGCCGCGGAGGCUGGGACUGCGUAAGCGGCGAUAGGGUAGGACCCACAGCCUCCUCGCAGGCAUUCUUGGAGCUCGGUUCCGCGGUCGGUCCGGAUCUCCCGGGAAGUCUCGCCGGAGUCAGGCAGGCCUUAGGAAGAAGCUGCCUGAUGUGCAAGGUUUCAUAGGCCGUCAGAGGGGGCAUCCUGGAGGAGCCCUGGCAUCAGGAAAGUGAGCCCCCCAUGGCAGCCCGCAGGAAUGAACCAGUGCUCAGGGCAGAAAAAUUCUGCCUGACCUUUCCCAUCUUCCUGAUGAUGUUAACAAACGACAGCCACUGAGGGCACAGGAGGGGGCUCUACACAGGCCAAGAGCUACAGGCUACAGUCUGAGCACAGAAAACCCUCCAGCUCCAGCAUCCAGGGCCACAGCUGGACACAAGUACAGAACCUGGCAGCCCUGCAGCCCAGACAAUGCCCAGGGUGUGAUUUAGGGUGCAGAGCUGCAACUCAGAUCCUGUGCCAUGGCAGUAUCACAGGAAGGACUUGACGGAGAGGUGAAGGCUCCAGACGCCAGGAUAUUUAUUCCCUGUGCCAAUACAGCAUUCACACCUGACCUCCAGGUCCUGCAGCAGGUACUCUCCUCAUUCACAGUUAGCUCCCCACUGUUCCAUUCUGGGUUCAUUUGCUAUACUCCUAAUCUGUUCUCCCAAUCCACCCCACAGUCUCUCCCUUGCUGGGGACAACACAGGAAGAGACAAAACCUGAGGAAGGAAAAAGGGAACCUGCAACCAGCCAUGGACCUCAUGAUCCCAUGAGUCACAGCUAUCCUCUGUCUUUAAGAAUGACUGUUUUAUAGCUUACAUGGUACCUGGGAAAUUGCUGACUUGCAGCUGAAAUGUAUGAAUACCAAAGAAUUUCUAUCACAAUAUUCACAGAUCUCUGUAUCAGCUCUACUUGGAGGUCAAGCAGGCUUGGGAGAGUAUAGACUGCUCUGCCUGCCCUAGAGUGGAAGCAUUGAACAAAGCCACAAAAACCCCAGAGAUCACAGAUCUAACUUUUCAAUGGCCCACAGGACCAGGUUCAGGACAGGUAGGACACCAGGCAAACCACUUGUUCCCUUGCGCUUCAUUGUGCAAAAGCUGGUCUGUUCCUCUGGCCAGACCCUCCUUAGUACAGGAUCUCGGACCACAAACCAAGGAGUCUCGUGGCCUUGGAUUCCCAGACCCUAGGAUGGUAUCCCUCUGACAGCUGGAACCAGGCAAGGGGGAACACACCUCAGCCUCAGAGCAGCCUCUGGACACUCUCCAGGUAACAUGAAAAUAACUUGUGCAAACACAGCCCCCAUGCCAGAAAGUCCAGUGCCCUAGGAAGGGCUAUCCUGAAUUCUGACCCUGAUGUUUGCCAAAGGAGAAUGCAGCAAGACAGUGUCAGGUUUGGCCAAAUGUGACCCUGCUCAGAGCUAUACCACUUGAAUACUGGCACAAAAGAAAGGACCAAGGUAAAGCAAAUUUAUUUGGGAGGAACAAUUCCCUUCAAAAGUAGAUCCCUAUCUUUAGGAGACAAAAGGCAACACUGUGAUGAACCCACACCCCCUAGUUUGGGGGGCCACAGGCCCAACCCCAUUCUGCUGUGGGCUCUAGCCUCAGUAGCCAGAUCCAGGUAAACCUCAGUUUCAAGAAUAAAGGUGAGCCACAGACAUGCAGCACCACCAGAGACAACAACACCCCGUGGCAAGAAGACCAUGUUCUGGACUGUCUCCGUACUGCCACGGUAAGGCAGGAGGCAUGCUGUGACCCCUUGUGCUCCAUGCCCAUUGCACAGGCCAGUUCAAUUCCCUACCAUCUGCCACCCAUGCUCUUCUUUGGGACUACAACUCUGGCCAAACGUGAAUAUGGAAAGCAGAGGCCCAGGGCCCUCUUGCAGUACAGACAUUUUGAGGUGGGUAGGCAGCAUAUGUUACAUUCUAAGUAAAACAGCUAGAGGGUAAAACACUCCAAUGCCAAUUUAUUUUCAAAAAGGGCUCUGUGUUAUCCUAUAGUUUGCCUUUUUUUUUUUUUUGUAUAAUUGUACAACCUUUGAAAGUUACAUAAGUUGUAAUGAUCUAAUACUAUUAAUAGCCAUUCAGAAAACACUUUCCCUCCCUCCCAACAACCAUCCAGGGGGAAAUAAAAGUCCUGAAAAGAGGCCAGUUCAACAUGGCCUCUACCCUGGUAGAAACAAAAAGUGAAAAGAGAAGAAAACAGAAAUCAACUAAGAGGUGUUGCCAGUGUCUCUCAGGAGUGGGGCCCUGGCUGUUGCCUGGGGUCAUGAAAGGCAGAGCCUGCAGCAUGCAGUAUGGCAGCCGGGAGACCUUGCAGCCACAUCUUCCUCACCCCGGCACAUCCACAUCCCAACUUAGGUGUCAUGGAAAUCUUUCAGCAGGGUUCUCCUCCGCUGCUCCGCUAUAUGCAUCUGGUUCUCCAAGUCCUGCAUCAGAGAAACAAGGUGUGUGCUUGCAUGGCCCAGGCCUGGGAGCAAGGAGUAGCCAAAGCCACAAACACCCUCCAGGACCUCCAAGGAGUCAAAAACACUGCCCUUCCCAUUCUUAGCAGCAGCUACCAGUGCACAAGCCAACAACGCUGUCACCUAUUACCAUGCCAGUCCUCUACCUGCAAUAUAGAAUCCAAGAGGACAGUAGGCACUUACCCCUCUGUCAUAGCUGUCUGCACGCUCCACUUUCCAUGAGAGGUUUUCGAUCUCAGCCUCCAGCUGAGCCUGCUGGUAUUCAAACU